rnacentral:lncRNA from 1 species
AGUUUGUAGGUCUUUUAACUCUAUCCUCAUUUGAUAUGAAAGUAUUUUAUUGAUAAUUUUUCUAUAAACUUUAUCAAAAUUCAUUGAGUUCGACUGUAUAUUUUGACAUGGCGGGACUACUAACUAGGCAAGUCUGAAAAAUUAAAAACAAACAAUUAAAGAAGUUGCCCUGCAUUCUCUCCAGAUUUUUGCCACGGAACACAGCACAGCAGGAGUAACCGCAUUUCAUCAUCGUAACACAUAACCUCUUCUGUGUUGAUACUAGUACUUAAUAAAUCUCAGCAGUCCUAUACCAAAACCUGAAAGAUCUAGGCAUCGCAGAGCAGCAAAACAAUGCCAUUUCCAGAUUCAUCUAGCAUACCAUGAAAGUCUUACAUAGGUUGCCUAGCAAGAUUGGAAGAAGGCACGAGCAUAAGCCUAGAACACUGCCUGCCGAACAUCAGCUCCUGAACCUAGGGGAAGCAAUGCACUGCUGUCAAGCAUUAGGCGGCGCGAACGAGCCAAAGCAUCAAAAUACCGAGGAAUCGCCAUUGCUAGGAUGGCUCAGCUGGUGAGCGCCGAGAGCAUGCCCCCACCACUCUUCGAGGCCAGN